rnacentral:rRNA from 2 species
AAAUUGAAGAGUUUGAUCAUGGCUCAGAUUGAACGCUGGCGGCAGGCCUAACACAUGCAAGUCGAACGGUAACAGGAAGAAGCUUGCUUCUUUGCUGACGAGUGGCGGACGGGUGAGUAAUGUCUGGGAAACUGCCUGAUGGAGGGGGAUAACUACUGGAAACGGUAGCUAAUACCGCAUAACGUCGCAAGACCAAAGAGGGGGACCUUCGGGCCUCUUGCCAUCGGAUGUGCCCAGAUGGGAUUAGCUAGUAGGUGGGGUAACGGCUCACCUAGGCGACGAUCCCUAGCUGGUCUGAGAGGAUGACCAGCCACACUGGAACUGAGACACGGUCCAGACUCCUACGGGAGGCAGCAGUGGGGAAUAUUGCACAAUGGGCGCAAGCCUGAUGCAGCCAUGC